UCCAAGAGCAUGAAACACUUGUGCAUCUUCCUUUUCCUGCUGACGGUUCCCAGCUGCGUCCUGUCCCAGGUGGAGCUGCGGGAGUCAGGGCCCGGUCUGCUGAAGCCCUCUCAGUCACUGUCCCUCACCUGCACUGUCACUGGUUACUCCAUUAGCAGUGGCAACUGGUGGAGUUGGAUUCGUCAGCGUCCAGGGAAAGGGCUGGAGUGGAUGGGUCGAAUUUAUAACAAUGGAAAUACUGAAUACAACCCGUCUCUCAAGAGCCGAAUAACUAUGACAGUAGACACAUCGAAGAAUCAGUUUUCACUGAGGCUGAGCUCUGUGACCACUGAGGACACAGCUGUGUAUUACUGUGCAAGAGACACAGUUGCGGAACUUCAGUGUGAGCCUGCACAUAAACAAGCCUUCCUGCAGGGGACAGAAGUGUCUCUGUGGCAGCAGGCACUGAGUGCUCAUCCAGCCCUGGUCUCAGCCCGGGAGCUGGCGCAGUGA